rnacentral:misc_RNA from 1 species
GAGGAAGAAAGAUCAAAAAGCCAUCGUUUUGAAAGCUGAGAGAGCGAGAGAGAAAGUAGAGAGAGAAACGCAAAAACAAGAAAACCAAACACUGUGUGUGAGCGAGUCUCUGUGUGUGAGAGUGAAAGAAGAAAAAGAACAAAAAAAAAAAAAAAAAACCCAAACCAAAAUCCAAAAAACAGAAACGCUUUCUACAGUUUAUCACACUAGUUCUCUAUCUCUAUCUCUUUCUACAAGCGCACCCCAUUUGAUCGGAGUCUCAUUCUGUUAAUUGUCCGAAAGCCGGUACAAUUUCCUCCGUUCCCGUCCGGUUCCGUGGUUUUCGGGAUGGACCGGUACGGUCGGACCCAGGAAGGCUCGCAGUCCGAUCCGUCACCGGAAUGGACGGCUCCGGGACCUGAAACUGGGUUUGAAGAGGGUGUUUGGCAGCUGGGAUUAGGGGAAAGGGAAUCCGGGUACCCAGAGAGACCUAACGAGGCGGAUUGUAUCUAUUACUUGAGGACCGGAUUUUGCGGGUACGGGGCUAGGUGUCGGUUCAAUCACCCGCGUGACCGUGGCGCGGUAAUAGGAGCUACAAGAGCUGGCGCUGGGGAGUUCCCUGAGCGAGUGGGCCAGCCCGUGUGCCAGUAUUACAUGCGGACAGGGAUGUGCAAGUUUGGUGCUUCCUGCAAGUACCACCAUCCUAAACAGGGAGGUGGUUCUGUUAGCCCGGUGUCACUAAAUUAUUAUGGGUACCCAUUACGUCAGGGUGAAAGGGAGUGUACAUACUACGUAAAAACUGGGCAUUGUAAAUUUGGUGCAACAUGUAAAUUCCAUCACCCACAGCCAGCUAACCUACAAAUCCCAGCGCAGUCAGUGGCUCCUCAAGUUGCACCUUUGCCUUCUCCUGUAGCAGCUUCUACAUUAUAUCCUACAGUGCAGUCUCCAUCUGUUCCUUCCACUCAACAGUAUGGAAUAGUAGUUGCGAGGCCUUCUCUUCUGCCUGGCUCAUAUGUACAAGGUCCUUAUGGUCCAAUGGUGCUUUCCCCAGGUGUAGUUUCCUAUCCAAGUUGGAGUUCCUACCCGGCACCUGUAAGUCCAGUUGCAUCUCAUAGUACUCAGCCAGGAGUUGUAUCAGGUUCUGUGUAUGGGAUAACACAGCUGUCUCCUUCAGCAUCCGCUUAUACUGGAAUUUAUCAACCCAUCUCUACUUCAAUUGGUCCGUCAAGCAGCAGCCAGAAGGAACGCUCGUUUCCAGAAAGACCUGGCCAACCAGAAUGCCAGUAUUACAUGAAAACUGGUGAUUGUAAAUUUGGAUCAUCAUGUAGAUAUCAUCAUCCACCAGAAUUGAUUGCACCAAAAACAACUGUUCUUCUUAGCCCCAUUGGUCUUCCUUUGCGUCCGGGUGCACCAACUUGUACCCACUAUACACAACGAGGACAAUGCAAGUUUGGACCUGCAUGCAAAUUUGACCAUCCAAUGGGAACAUUGAGUUACAGUCCAUCUGCAUCUUCUCUCGCUGAUAUGCCUGUUGCACCUUACGCUGUGGGCUCUUCAAUCGGUACUCUAGCACCAUCAUCGUCAUCUUCAGAAUUGCGACCUGAACUUCUUUCAGGGUCAAGCAAGGACUCCAGCUCAACCAGAAUGUCUUCAUCAUCAAGCACAUCUAGUGUAUUGGUGGGUUCGACCUUUUCAAAGAGUGGGCCUGUUCCUUAUUCAAGUGUGCAACAGUCUAGCCAGAGCUCUGGCCAUUCAACAGGGAGCAGCAGCAAAGAGGCCCAUACCUCAAGCUAAGCAAAAUAUCAAACAACUUUUUUGAUCAAAUUCAUAUCUUUUCCCCCUUCUUUUUUCUUUUUCAAUCCCUCAAAUAGGAGGCUUCAUUUCUUGGCCACAAUGGUUCCACAAUUAAAGCCUAGAACACGUGAGGUCUGAUAAUUGUGUUCAUACAAUCUUACAGCCAUCUCUUUUGUCUUGAAUAAGCUAUGGUCAACCCUCAAAAUGUUCAGCAAAACCCCACAUAGCCUUCUGCUUUUCUUUCGAAUAACCAACAAGAUCUGCACUUCCCUUAGGCAAAUCUCUAUCCAUGUCUCCAAUUUUUUGGAGUUUGUUGUGUUUAUUUAUGCUGCAAUCCUUUUCAAAAAUGAAAAUGAUCAGUUCCUAUAGCAUUCUUCUUUUUACAUCAGCUGUGUCUUCACGUCAAUCAUUUUACAGUUUUCUUUAUAUUUGGGAACAGGCUUUCCAAUUUGUCCAGAUAGGAAUUUGAAGGUUUCCUGGUUCCCCCACUUUUUGUCUGGGGUUUAUUAUGAAAAAGAGAAGUAAUCACAGAGACUCAAAAGGAGGCAUCCAAAUGCUACCUUACAUGUGAUUAGGUACAUAAUUAUGUUGUGACAAUUGAAAUGCUCGACAAAAAGUGGGGGAACCAGGAAACCUU